UGUGUUCUACUUCUUCCUCCCCUUUCCUUUUCUUCGUUUCUUCAUUCUCUUUAUUUUUUAUCAGGCAUUGAGGUUAAUUCAAAUUUUUGGUUACAGCAACAGCAACAACAACAACAACAACAACAGCAGCAGGUGCAACAACCAUUGUUUAACUCGGCCUUGCUCCAACGGCCCUCGUACCAGACAGCAGCGGCGUCCCAACUGCGGCCGUACGUGCAACAGCCUUUACAACAGCCGUUGCAACAGCCCCUGCAACAGCCUCUGCAACAAUUUUCUCAAUAUCAGCAGCCGUUGCAGAACCCCAACCUUUUAUAUCAGAACCCUGCACCUCUGACCAACGACCUGUUCCAGGCGCAGCAGCAAUCACUCUUCGGACCUCAGCAACCUUUGCAGCAGUACAACAACCCAUUCCUUUACCAGAGUCCUUUCUACAACCCAUACUUUUCCGCCAGAGCAUCGCGCGAUUUGGAUGUUAAAGGACAACUCGAGACGCUGACGGCUAAAUUGACCGGAAAAGUUAAGAAUGUUACUUGUGUUAUGCAAGAAUUAGGAUACUUAGAUUCAAAUUUGGAGCCGGAUUAUGUAAAAAAGGUAGAGAGGAUAAACCGACUGCCAAUAUCGGAAGAGCUGAAAAGGGACAUGGCUGAAGGCGUCGAAUACUGCCGGCAGUUUUCGCAAUGCGUGCCAGACUCGAGGAAAGACAAGCUAGCGAAAGAAAUGCUCCGACCCAUGUUCUUCUUCCGAUGUUAUAAGCAUAAAAAACUUGAGGCGUGUAUCAUGAAAGAUAUAAGAGAAAGGUAUUCCAACGGGAACGAAGAUUUCCUGGACGAGAACGUGCUGGGAGGCGGUGGCGACAUGCGCUCUAUGAAAAGCAGAAACCAGACUUUGGACGACGAACACAUGGAAGUAGCCAUUUAUGAGUUCCUUUACGGGGGUGACACUGCCCAGCUCGACUCACUUCUUUAGUCACUGGUCUAGCCGACCGCAUCAAAGUUUCCUUGAUAGGGAGGGUUUACUGUUAUUCUGAGGGGGAAAAAAAAUGAGUACGUGCAAAAAAAAGGCUUCCAAAAAAUAAAAACUAGAAAAUCGCGCAUGCACUACACACAGCACGGAUUACAGGCAGGUCUCAACCUUAACCUGUUUAAAUUUCAGCUUUUACACCCCAUAGACAUCAUUACGGUGAAACCUGUGGGCUGAUUUUUGAAAUUGAUAGACAAAGCGGUAGACAAUGAAGACAUAGGGAGUAUGGAGCUAUCCCAAUGGUUGAAGCUGGUGGUUCUUACAGACUAAAGGGGAAAAUGAUGAACUAACUAAAGGGUAUCUUGUCAGUUGCUGUUUGUUAGUGUAUUACCCACCUUCUUUAUCCAUUGUAACCACCUGCUUCCACCAAUUUGUAGGAUCCCUCCGAAUCCCUUUUGUCUUUUUUGUCUAUAGCUUUGUCUACCAAUUUCAAUAAUCGGCCCACUGAUCAUAACUGGGAGCCUUCUCACGGAGUAAAACCGCUGGAAGCGCAACUGUGAGUUUAAAAUGACUUCAAGUAAACCUGCUCUCAACAGGAUACUGACACUUAAAAGAAACAUUUCUCCAUCCCGUGAUAAUGAUGAAUAAUGAUCAUCAUCAUGAGUUCGAGUCAUAUUGUAUCUUCAUUAUCAGAAACUUCCAGCAUCAACACAGAAGCGACUUAACUGUUUGUCGCUUACUCCCUAUCAAGGAAAUAUUUUCCUAUUUGUCCCUGCCAUAAUCUUAAUUCUUUUAAGGGAGGGAUCUAGCACUCCUCCUCAUUAUUUGAAAUUUGUUUGAUAAAAUGGAACUGAUUUUCAUAAAAUUAAAUGCAGACUAGAUAUUGUGUUCUUGGCACACAUUUCCUUUUCUUGUCACAAAGACUGAAACAUGUUUGCAUACAUUUUUCAGAAGGUUUCACAAAUUUGUAGAUUUAUUUAGUUCAUUAAUACUUGGAACAAAUGGUUCUCCUGGGGAUAUAUCUCUGUAAAGAGCCUCCAAUUUUACACGAAUGCAAUUUUUGGUUCCAAGAUUCUUAAAGAAAUAAAAUAGAUCGCUUUGACAGUGGAAAGUCAAUAAGUCAAUAAGUAGGAUAUUCUUUCCCGGUCUAAAAGAAUUGUUGGGUAGCUUAAACUUAGAAAAUUUGUGUGAGGUCUCUUUGAAUUAAAAUCCUUUUCACAGUCUACAAUCAAGAUCCCUUAAAUUGUGAUUUUAUCAUUUGUUCUUUAUUUUGCCAUUUGGCUAAAAUACAAUCAUCCUAUUACAGGAUACUGAUUUUAUGUAAAUACUGCACAGCAAGUCAACCAUUUGUGUUGAUUGGAUUUCAGACAAAAUCUACGUCAGAUGGGCAAUCCUAAAUGCUUCUAAUGCUUAAAUACCAAAUUGGUAAUUAAUAUCAACAUAGGUUUCUGAGCAUGAAGUAUUCACUGGAUCUGCGAAUGUGUUCAAUAUCUCUUGUAAAAAUAAAAGAUAGUCAAUAAAAAUCCAUUUUGUGGGCUUCUUAUUUCAUAAUUUUUGUUCCUGUUUUCUCUAUUUACUGCCAUCAAACCUUCCUUUCUGCUUUGGUCAACAAUAUGGAUUUCGUUUAACAUUGUGAACUUGUCUUAUUACAGUGUCUUACUACUCUGUUUUACUACAUUUGGAAAAUGUAGCUUAAUGAAUUUUUUUUCUUUUUUCUGACUUAUUUUUUAGCCAUAUUCUAAAAUGCUUUGUCAUUUUUUAGAAAAAAUACCUACUUAAUUUCCUCCAAAAUACUCUUUCUUCAUUCAGUUAUCUGAUUAAAAACUUGAUAUUAAAGCAAUUUUUUGGAAUCUGAGACCGAGGACUACUCACAAAAUACCAAAAAAUUCAGCACCGGCUAAAUUUCAAUAUUAUUUGAUGCAAUGUUUCUUACAGCUCCUUGAGCAUGAUAAGGUCUUAAAAUCGAACCCCUCUUGAGCUAAUCUAGAGAAAAAUAGAGCUGGAAAGUGAAUUUAUUCGCGUCUUUAAAUGUAUUAUCGAAAAGAAAUAUUGCAACAUCUGAUGGGUGACCAAGGAGAGCUUAUGCUUCCUUGCUGGCUGAAAAGACAAGACAAAUGAAAAGAAUCAAAAUCCUCCAAAUGAUAACAGUAUACAGCACGGCAAUCACACAAAUAUAGGGACAGUCCCACAUCUCCAUCAGAAAACACGAAUAACAACGUUUAAAAAUACACUCUUCCUUCAACCCUGUUAUUCUAGAGGUUGCUACAUGAAAAGUUUGAUUUAAAAGCUCUGUGUCAUUUGGAGGUUGUAAGGAACAUCAUACCAUAUAUCAAAUACUGAAAAUUACUAAAAAAUUUAGCCAGAGCAAAAUUUAUUGGUACUUCUUGCAUAGUCCUUCGCAAGGGAAAAAUUUUCUCAUAAUCUAACUAACCUACAGAAAAGGGUGGAGAGACUAUGUUCCGUUUUGAUGCAUAAGUUUAACAGCAUUAAAACUUUUAAUUUUUUUUUAUUUUAUUACGAUCAACUUAUGUAUGGUUAAAGCGUUGGUAACAAGACUACAAUCAUUUUCAGGCAAUUAAGACCUUUUAUCAUUUGCUUAGUUUUGUACACAGAUAUUUACACAAGUUUAGGAUGUAGAUACUACUUUUUUGUUUUCCUUAAAAAAUAGAGUCAAAUUAAACUAGGUCCUUAACAAUUAAAGAAAAAGAAACAUACUAACAGAAAUAACACGGCACAAGCUAAUAGCUCUUUCACGAGCGGUUAAAAGAUUGAGUGCUGACAAUAAGAAAUCUCAACAAAAG
rnacentral:lncRNA from 1 species